rnacentral:tRNA from 1 species
CAGAGGUAGUUUAAUAAAAAAAUAUUAAUUUUGGGGAUUAAUGAUAAAGGGGUUUUCUCUGA